rnacentral:tRNA from 1 species
GGUGAUGUAGCUCAGUCGGUUAGAGCGUGGCACUCAUAACGCCAAGGUCGCUGGUUCGAUCCCAGCCAUCACCACCA